CUCUCCUCUGCUCGUGCUCUCUCUCUCUCUCUCUCAAAAAUAAAUAAGCAUUAAAAAAAACAAAACCUUUUAAUCCUUACAAUUUGAUGAGGUCAGUUAUAAUGUGAUCCCCAUUACAUGGGUGAGACAAUGGAGGCAUAAGAGCCACACAGCUAGUAAGGAGAGCUGAGCAGUCUCACAUCAGACACAACAACCCUACGUAUGAUCUAACUGAUGAGAUUUAACUGGAAAGACGACUAAGCAAAACUUGGAUUUAACCAGUUUGCUGAGUGGUUUGAAACUCAGCACAGCAGACAGUGAUAGCAUUGUCAGCUGAUGCCUUCUCGGCGCAGCGACCUCUUCCCACACUCGGGAAGGGCCAGGUAGGACUCACAGGCCACAGAGCAGUGGACUCACAGUCCACUGAAAGCAGCCACACCGGGGACGCAGUCCGUCACCGCCGCCCUAUUGAGGGAAGUCCCGUCUUGAAGCCAAAGCCUUGCUGGACUCAGGCAAGGGACACAUCUCUCUGAAGGCACGGAGGAAGGGGCACAGAGGAAUCUGAGGAGGUGACGUGACGGAGAACGACGUUUGGGGAACACGAGUGCACAUACAAGUCAAGUGUGCAGGACAGUCUCAAUAUCCGGACGUUCUCGAGGGAACAGGAGUCUCAAAUGUCCCUUUAAAGACAGAAGAGCUCAGAGAAAGAGCUCAGAGAAACUCCUGGUGGACUGUUAGCCGUGGUCAGUGGGCUACGGGGACAGCUUGAGGACUGCAGAAAGAAAGGGCGAUGGCAUGAACUUUUUUCUUGCUAUUCGUUUGCAUGGUGUCACAGAUUGUGGUAAGCACAUGGUAUUAUUUAAUUUGUAAAAAAAAAAAAAAAAUUUAAUGAAAGAGAAGGGGGUUGGAGGGCAGGGAGGGAGGGAGAGAGAGAGGCCUAUCAAAGCAAAAAUUUCCUGCUGGGCAAAGAUGGUUCACCAUCAGGAGUCUUUUUAUCUUGCUGGGAUGCCAAGACUGGUGUUUUAUUCUUUCCUCUCUCUCUCUCUUUCUCUCUCUCUCUGUGUCUCUCUCUCUCCGUCUGUCUCUCUCUGUCUCUGUCUCUCUCUCUCAAGUGAAUGUGCUGACUUACUUGCGGGAGGAUACUUUGCCCUCUGCAAAGCCACCUUUAUGGAAGAAUCUAUUACUGAAGAGCUGAACGUGCAGGCAUGGGGGACUCUUGCAGGUGCGAAGGCAGGUGGCCGAGGGAGACGGGUGGGGAGAUGGGGAGACACCAUGAUGUGAUAGGGUGCAUGGACGCCUUCCACCUCGCCUAAACACUGCCGGGUCCGGCCAGAGAUGGAGCCUGAGUGGUGUCAACAGAGGUCUUCGGACAAAGGCCAUAUGCCAUGUGCAGAUCAUCGUCCCUCCCCAGGGGAACUUCCAGCGAGAUGAAUGAGAGGCCAGAUAAAUCAUGAAGAUCUACAGGUACACAUACAGGUACGGAUACAGAUAUAUCAAGAGAGCUGGUGUUUAAUGUCAGUGCUGCUUUCAAAUGUAAAUAUAACUGCAUUUAAUUCAGUACGUGUUUACUGAGCUCCUACUAUGGGCCCAGCCUUACGCUUUUUAUGCAAUUAUCUUAAACUUCCCACACGAUUUGAGGCAGUUUUCUUUCUAAUUAUGAAAGUGACAAAUUCAUUACAGGAAGCGGUCCACUGCAGGAAGGUUUUUUUUUUGUUGUUUUUUUGUUUUUUUGUUUUUUUGUAAAUGACAAAAUUGCCUCUGAUUCUCAAACACAAUGGCCAUCUUGUUGUGUGCUAUAUUUCCAGGACCAGCACGGUGAGUGGCACAUAAUCGAUAUCUCAUCAAUACCUGUUGAGAAAAGGGAGGCAGGCAGCAAACUUACAGUAAUGUUAUUUAUGUAAAUCCAUUUUCUAUGCCCAUAUUUUUAUAUAACAAGGAAAUUAUCCUGUGCCUGUUGUUUUUUAAAUCACUCGUUCCACUUAAUAAUAUAUAACAAUCCUUGUUACUUUUUAGUUCCCUGCACUGCUCUUUGCCUCCACACAUGGAAAAAAAAAAAAAUUAGUGAAAACACGCCAAGAAGAAACAUUUCUCAGGUCUGAGAGUGAACUCACAAGCUGUUUCCAAGCAGUUGUACACGCACACACUCAACGGCAGCUGUUGCACAUAAUUAAUGUGCUAAUUAUACGUAAUUAUCUAAUUACUAAAGAACAAAGUCAAAGCAAGUGCGGUAGUAAAGACACCAUAACCAGUACCUUUUAGAAUGCUCUACAAUAUAGACUAGAUUGCUAUUUGUGAAAAGUACUCUUUUUGUCUGAUACCUGUAAAUAGAAAAGAGUCUUCCUAAAUGCUGUAGGGAUGUUAUGGAAUGGGGGAUUGUCAGUCAUUCCAUUAACAGAAUUAAAAAUACACACACACACACACACACACACACACACACACAUUUUACAUGGAGAAAAAUGUGCCAUAUGAUUCAUCUUGAUAAUGUGGUGUGAACGGGGACCAGCAACAGAGUCCUGUGCUGAAAGCAAGUUUUCCAGUGAAUGUUCCAAAGUAGGCUGGUCCCACAGAAUGAUCAUAUGGGGGAAAAAAGUGGAAGGUGAGUGGUAAGAUGUUUGGAAAACAAUAUUCAUCUAUCCCCUGGAUGUUCCAUUUAAGGCUGUCCCAUAAAAUAUAAAGUAAAAAAAAGGGUGGGGGUGGGUGACAAACGAUGGAGAUAUAAGUUUGGAAAAUACUGUUAUUCUUUCCCCUUCUUAGAGAGGUAGAAAACACAUUUGCAUUUAAAAGGCUCUAAUAAGUACUGCAUUUGUGAAAUAGUUUUGACCACAGAACGCUUCUUUUUUCACUCUCUCUCGGUAUUAUAAAUGUCAGUGUAAUUAAUAGACAACCCAAGUGCAAGGUCAGGCUGUACUAUUUUACUGCCUCCACUGGAUCACUGAUUCACCCUACAGGGAAACUUCACUUUGAAUUUGAACCAAGGGCUCCGUCCAAAAGGAACAACCUCACAAUAAGAUAUACUUGAGAAUCUAAAACAGACUCUUGGAUGAGCCCCAAGAAGCAUUAUUUUCUACCGAUUGCUUCUCUCGGAAACAUACCGAUUAGGUCUGAAGAUGCUCUAUCUUGACAUUUAGGUGCUAGGACCAAACAAUUAAAUCUUUUAUCACACGUUACCCACAGUAUUUCUUGAGAAUGUUAAAGGAGCCACAUUGCAAGAGAACGGUCUCCUAUACUCACAGAGAAGAUAUAAAUUAGCAUCUCUGGAGUGUAAGUUAUUUUAUUAACUUGUUCAUUCAUACCCUGUCUCCUUCCAAAAAUGAAUCGGGGCAUCCUUUUGGUUUUUUGUUUUUUUUGUCUUUAAUGCUACCAUCAAAAUUCAAUGGGCCUUGACAAACGGGUGAAAACACAAACUAGUUGAAGCCUCCAAAGGCACAUCUUCAUUACUUUUAUUAUUUAACUUUAACUUUUAAUCUUGGGCCAUAAAAACUGUCCUAAUAAAAGAUCCAUAAAUAUCUCCUGAAUGUGCAAAGGAGCGACUUUGAUGACCUGAGAACAUAUGCUGGGCUCUUUUUUGCUGAUGGGCCUGAGUACUUAUGACUGCCUGAGUUGUAACACAGAGAAAGAUGUAGGUCUAGACCCCUCCAGCAAGUGAUUCCAAACAGACCGCUGCAUCAGGAGGUCUGCUGCUGGUUCCAUUUCAAAAUUGUGCUUCCAAACGAAUGACACAAAACCUCCUUCGCUAAUUUUGAAGGCAGCUGGGGCAGAUUUUCACGUGGCUAAUUCGAUGUUUCAAAAAUUAAUCGUCUGCCACGGAUGCGGUUGUGGCGUGACGGCCUGAAAUGGGGGGGGGGGGGGCGGGGGUUCUCACAGAAGUCCCACCUAGAAAUCUCUGGUCACCCAGCCUCGCUUUGCACAUCGCAGGGACUCCGCAAGCGUUUGCUGUGUGAAGGAAUGAACGCGCUCCGUCUGAGGGCUGCUUUUUUUAACCCCAUUUCUAAGCACGCUUCGGAUUCGAACGUUAAUACGGUUAAUUGCCAAAUAAAUAGUUCCAGAUUGUAAAAUGGGUUUUCCUGAACAGAUUUAAUUCAACGGAACAACACAUUUUUUAUAAUUGAAGACAUUCAAAAACUCAACGUUAUUCUUCCCUCAACCCUUUUCCAAAUUGAAUUCUGAGAACGGAUAUACCUUUAAAAUUAUAUUAUCAUCACAGUGCAUUUCUGCACGAACAAUACCUAAAGAUAAUGGCUUUUCUAAUGUGAUGCAUAAAUGCAAGUUUACAGGAACCAGGAAUUUAUUUUAUUAAAUGUUGGGAUUUUUUUUUUUUUUUUUUCACGUAUAUGGCUUCUUCCCCCUUUUCUGUAACAUGCUAUUCUGAGGAAACACUCUAAGGCCGUGAUAGUUGAUUACAUUAUCUUGAUCGCCAUUCUUUUUCUAGCUUUCUUAAAUUAGAUGCAAGGAGCAUUUCUAAGUUUAGAAUAUUGGACAGAAUACCCUGCGUUCGAAGCCAGUGUUCCUAAAACUCUUUUAUUUCUUGUGCCGGGCAAAUUUUCAUGCAACUUCUUUUCAUAUGCAAAGUGGAUCUAUGCAAUCCCAUCUUACACAUUCAAUGGAGAAGAAUGUGUCAGGAGAAGGAGCCCUGUGUUUUAGCACGAAACGAAUAAUCUGUCAUAAACAGCAUGCUGUAUUUAAUAUUCAGAUCAAGACAUUUCUGUCUCAUCCUAGCAGACCCUCCUGACAAAAGCCAUCCCACGUCUGCCAGGAGUAUCGAGUCCAGCUGAGGACAAAUUUCAAGAUGAACCUGAAAUCAAUUUGCCAUCAAAUUUUCAUGCCUCUCCCAGACUAUCUGUGGCAUUUUAAUUACCAGCACCCUAGGCGGGGGGUACUACAGAUAUUGACACUUUGCUCCUACAAUAAACUUUAUUGGCAACCUCUGUCUGAAUGCAGUACUCAACUAGAAUAACAAGAAAUACACGAGGGUGUGUAAGCGGAGAGGACUGUGAUCACCCUGAGGCCAUCCCCUUCACCGGACCAGGGCACUUCUUAGGCCACAGGCCUGGGAGAUACAACGCCUGGCUCUCGCGAGGACAAACGACCUUCAAGUUCGACGGGCCUGCAGUGUCCUUUGAGCUCUGCAAGGUCCCUGGGUCCUUCCCCACAGCACAGCCACAAGUCUUCUCCUUCCCUGUCUGUGCUCAGGUGGCUAUUUCUGGUGUGCAUCAUUUUGGAGCUCUCCGAAGGUUUCAAAUCUUUGUUGAAAGGCCAGGGAGUGUGAGCAGAAGCCGUCCCUGUAAACUGUGCUGAAAGGCUUCAUUUCAGGGAACAGACGAAGCCCCUGAUUGUAUCUGGAGACAAGGCUUGUGUUUGGGGGCGGGGGUGGGGUGACCAGCCACCUCCACAUUCGUGACACCCAUCCCCCGCCUCUGCCCGACUUCUGAAUGAGCUGUGGGAAGAGCCAUAAAUAUCAAAAUAAAGGGGAGGACCCACAGUUUGCUAGCCGUGGAAUAUUUUUACGCUCUGAAAAUUAACAUCCUGGGACUACAGACAUGCAGCUUUAACCAGGCGCAUAGGGCAGCCCACGAUGCAAGGGGAGUCCGGUAUCAGCACAUAUGGUCUUGCUCCCCCGGACGGUGACAGGGAUGGAUGACAGCCCAUGGCCACUGCCAGCUGGGCGGCUCUGGGCCAGGCACCGGGGCGGGCAUGUGUGUUUGUGCCAUUUCAACGACUCCUCACACACUUCCAGAAGUGAGCAGCCGACCUAAGUGAGCCAGUAUUCUGGUAAAUGCUCAACAGCUCCAAAAAUGAAAGCACGCAUGUGUAAGCACACAUGCGUUCGUUUAUCAUAAAGCCUGCCGAUAGAAAGGAAGGAUGCUGGAGCAGAAUUUGCAAGUAAAAAUACACAAUAUUCUUUAUUACAAAGGCCACGGACCCAAUUGAUUCUCACCCAGUGCUUUCAUUGAUUUUUGCCGAACUCUUGAAUCCACAGGCAAGUUGCAGGUGAUGAGUAAGUGAUGUCUGAUAUAAAUAUCAGUUGAUAUUUUUCAGUUAGCCGGUAAGACGAAAGGGAAACAAUCAAGAGAGACGUACCUUGGAACUUUAUUCAUUCUUCAGGGGCAUCAGCAACUUCUUUGCUGAAUUAGAUAACAGGUUUUUCAAUAUACGGAAGGAAUACACCCUCACUUAAAAAAUAACAUUCAUAACGUAAUGACUACAGACAUGGUACUUAAAUGUGAAAUGCAUUAGGAACGUUGCGAUUACUUUGUCAAGCCAAGAUGAUCUAAACAAAACGCCUGAAGCCUUGAUUUGUAGUUUUUGCCAAUUUCCGUGGUGUAAAUGCUCCCGACCACAGCCAUUUUCAGGCUCCCCGGGGGAAGUCAUUGAACGCAGGGCUGUGGAGAGUCAAGCGGGUGCGUUCCAUUCUAGAGUGUUCCUGCCAUACGGAGACAAACAGAUCUCAGUUGACCUCAAGAGCACAGGCAGUUAAAGUCAAAGGUGGUAAAACGACCAGGAAGUAUUGAGCUUUGAGUAUUUAAUAACUUUGUUUGGAAUGUAAUUUCUUCAACGGUACGUUUACACAAUUCGAGGUUUAACAGUGUCCACGUUUAACGAGCGGGUCACGCAAUCUCUGCCAGUUCUGGGAGUCCGCGGAGUCCUGGGUCGACGUGAGGGGAGGGCUCCAGUGCACGCUGGAAAUGGUGCCAGCUUCGUGCAGGCACACAGACGCACGCACACCCUUCCGGGAGAGAUCGUGCUCACAAAAGCCGCUUAUUGUUCUCUUCGACAGGGAGAAACUCGUGAACACAGUCGGGAGAUCCGUGACGGAGAGGUAACGGCAGCCGAUAAUUAAAUAGCUGCGUUCCUGGAGACCGGGUGGGCUUGACAGAGACAAAGGAGACAGUGGGAAGGGCACGGGCCCCUUCUGACGGGAGAACAGCAGCACCAACACCAGCCCUGCCGAGAGAGGUGCCCGGCAGCCGCAGCAGCAGCAUCCACGCUCUGCUUUCUCCCCACCUCCACCGGGACCGCCGGCUUGUCUGCUGUUCCCAUGACACGGAAGCCGUGGCCAGCUUUCCAGGACUUACGGGAGAUGAGCCGCGUUAUUACGAUCUGAGUCUUGUUGUUGCUUCCGAGGCAAAAAUGGAUGGGGGACAUAAACACCAGGGCAGGCACAGAGCCUGCCACAACAGACAAGACACCCUGAUGUCGGGGCAGAGUUGGCCAACCCUGGUCCUGGGAGCACGUCGUUGUGUCCCAGUUCCAGGGUGGGUCGUCUUGUUUGGUCCGAACAGGUGAGAGCUCAGAGGGCCCCCCAUGCCUUAUUAAGCGAGGUGAGGCUCUGGGACAAGUGGCGGAGGCAGCUCAGCUUCCUGGGCACCUGGGAGUGGCAUCAGCAGCCGACAGCACAGCCAGACGAUGUUUCCCCUACAGCAUCAUCAUUCAAACGUGCCCGAAACAGUAGUGCACGUAGAUCACGAAGGGCAAUGCUGAUUUGGCUACAAGCAGCACCAGGACAUUUCUCCAAGGGUUCCAGGGGGGUGAGGGUGACGGACGUGGGGGACACGGAUGUCCUGUGCUUCUUCCUCAAGGCAAAGAUCCCUAAUACGACAUGCUCGGGGCUUGUCCGCAUGUAUUUU